rnacentral:pre_miRNA from 1 species
GAUCUACUCCCUCCGUUCGGAAAUACUUGUCAUUGAAAUGGAUGUAUCUAGAUGUAUCUUAGUUCUAGAUACAUUCAUUUUGAUGACAAGUAAUUCCGAACGGAGGGAGUAGGUG